rnacentral:rRNA from 1 species
AGAUUGAACGCUGGCGGCAUGCCUAACACAUGCAAGUCGAACGGGAGUAGCAAUACUCUAGUGGCGGACGGGUGAGGAAUACGUAGGAAUUUGCCCUUAAGUGGGGGAUAACCCGGGGAAACCCGGAUUAAUACCGCAUGACCUCGAAAGAGCAAAGUGGGGGAUCGCAAGACCUCACGCUUUUGGAGAAGCCUACGUCGGAUUAGCUAGUUGGUGAGGUAAUGGCUCACCAAGGCGACGAUCCGUAACUGGUCUGAGAGGAUGAUCAGUCACACCGGAACUGAGACACGGUCCGGACUCCGUACGGGAGCAGGCAGGUGGGAAUAGUUGGACAAGUGGGCNCAAGCCUGAUCCAGUCAAUCG